rnacentral:rRNA from 1 species
GAUGAACGCUGGCGGCGUGCCUAAUACAUGCAAGUCGAGCGAACGGACGAGAAGCUUGCUUCUCUGAUGUUAGCGGCGGACGGGUGAGUAACACGUGGAUAACCUACCUAUAAGACUGGGAUAACUUCGGGAAACCGGAGCUAAUACCGGAUGAUAUUUUGAAACGAAUGGUUCAAAAGUGAAAGACGGUCUUGCUGUCACUUAUAGAUGGAUCCGCGCUGCAUUAGCUAGUUGGUAAGGUAACGGCUUACCAAGGCAACGAUGCAUAGCCGACCUGAGAGGGUGAACCGCCACACUGGAACUGAGACACGGUCCAGACUCCUACGGGAGGCAGCAGUAGGGAAUCUUCCGCAAUGGGCGAAAGCCUGACGGAGCAACGCCGCGUGAGUGAUGAAGGUCUUCGGAUCGUAAAACUCUGUUAUUAGGGAAGAACAUAUGUGUAAGUAACUGUGCACAUCUUGACGGUACCUAAUCAGAAAGCCACGGCUAACUACGUG